UCCAGACUCCUACGGGAGGCAGCAGUGGGGAAUAUUGCACAAUGGGGGAAACCCUGAUGCAGCGACGCCGCGUGAAGGAUGAAGUAUUUCGGUAUGUAAACUUCUAUCAGCAGGGAAGAAAAUGACGGUACCUGACUAAGAAGCCCCGGCUAACUACGUGCCAGCAGCCGCGGUAAUACGUAGGGGGCAAGCGUUAUCCGGAUUUACUGGGUGUAAAGGGAGCGUAGACGGUAUGGCAAGUCUGAUGUGAAAACCCGGGGCUCAACCCCGGGACUGCAUUGGAAACUGUCGGACUAGAGUGUCGGAGAGGCAAGUGGAAUUCCUAGUGUAGCGGUGAAAUGCGUAGAUAUUAGGAGGAACACCAGUGGCGAAGGCGGCCUGCUGGACGAUGACUGACGUUGAGGCUCGAAAGCGUGGGGAGCAAACAGGAUUAGAUACCCCAGUACA
rnacentral:rRNA from 1 species